AAUCAACGCUGGCGGCGUGCCUCAGACAUGCAAGUCGAACGAUUAAGACUCUCUUCGGAGAGUGCAUAAAGUGGCGCACGGGUGAGUAACACGUAAGUAAUCUACCUUUGGGUGGGGAAUAACAGUCGGAAACGACUGCUAAUACCGCAUAAUGCAGCGGCUCCUUAUGGAGACAGUUGUUAAAGAUUUAUCGCCUAAAGAGGAGCUUGCGGCAGAUUAGCAGUUGGUAAGGUAACGGCUUACCAAGGCGACGAUCUGUAUCCGACCUGAGAGGGUGGUCGGACACACUGACACUGAAUAACGGGUCAGACUCCUACGGGAGGCAGCAGUCGGGAAUUUGGGCAAUGGGCGAAAGCCUGACCCAGCAACGCCGCGUGAAGGAUGAAGUCUUUCGGG
rnacentral:rRNA from 1 species